UUCUAACACAUGCACGUCGAGCGGUAGCACAGAGAAGCUUGCUUCUUGGGUGACGAGCGGCGGACGGGUGAGUAACGCGUGGGAAUCUACCUGGUAGUGGGGGACAACAGUCGGAAACGACUGCUAAUACCGCAUACGCCCUUCGGGGGAAAGUGGGGGAUCUUCGGACCUCACGCUAUCAGAUGAGCCCGCGUCGGAUUAGCUUGUUGGUGAGGUAAAGGCUCACCAAGGCGAUGAUCCGUAGCUGGUCUGAGAGGAUGACCAGCCACACUGGGACUGAGACACGGCCCAGACUCCUACGGGAGGCAGCAGUGGGGAAUAUUGGACAAUGGGGGCAACCCUGAUCCAGCCAUGCCGCGUGUGUGAAGAAGGCCUUCGGGUUGUAAAGCACUUUCAGCUGUGAGGAAAGGUGAGUGGUUAAUACCCGCUUGCUGUGACGUUAACAGCAGAAGAAGGACCGGCUAACUCCGUGCCAGCAAGCCCGCGGUAAAUACGGGAGGGUCCGAGCGUUAAUCGGAAUUACUGGGCGUAAAGCGCGCGUAGGUGGUUCAGUCAGUCCAGAUGUGAAAACCCCCGGGC
rnacentral:rRNA from 1 species